GCAUUAAUGGGGUAGUGGUAACCUGGGUCGUUGCCAUGAGAGCUAUGUUUGCUCGACCCGCCGGGGGUUCGAUUCCCUCUUAAUGCA